rnacentral:rRNA from 1 species
GAGCGCCGUAGCAAUACGGAGCGGCAGACGGGAGAGUAACACGUGGGAACGUGCCCUUCAGUUCGGAACAACCCCAGGGAAACUUGGGCUAAUACCGGAUACGUCCGUAAGGAGAAAGAUUUAUCGCUGAAGGAUCGGCCCGCGUCUGAUUAGCUUGUUGGUGAGGUAACGGCUCACCAAGGCGACGAUCAGUAGCUGGUCUGAGAGGAUGAUCAGCCUCACUGGGACUGAGACACGGCCCAGACUCCUACGGGAGGCAGCAGUGGGGAAUAUUGGACAAUGGGCGCAAGCCUGAUCCAGCCAUGCCGCGUGGGUGAUGAAGGCCUUAGGGUUGUAAAGCCCUUUCGGCGGGGAAGAUAAUGACGGUACCCGCAGAAGAAGCCCCGGCUAACUUCGUG